rnacentral:rRNA from 1 species
GUUUUUAAUUGAAAUCUGGUAUGAAGGGUUGGAUGAAAUAUUAACUGUUUCUUAAUAAAUUAUUGAAUUUUAUUUUUUAGUUAAAAAGCUAAAAUGUAUAAAAGGGACGAGAAGACCCUAUAGAGUUUUAUAAAUAUUAAUUAAAUAGAUAUUUAUUUUUAAUUAAUAUUUAAUUAAUAUUUAAUUAAUUGGGGUGAUUAUAAAAUUGAUAAAACUUUUAUUUUUUUUAACCAAUAAUUUUUGUUUCAUUGAUCCAUUUUUUAUGAUUAAAAGAUUAAAUUACCUUAGGGAUAACAGCAUAAUUUUUUUAUAGAGUUCUUAUUGGUAAAAAAGAUUAU